UACGAAGGGGGCUAGCGUUGCUCGGAAUCACUGGGCGUAAAGGGUGCGUAGGCGGGUUUUUACGUCAGGGGUGAAAUCCUGGAGCUCAACUCCAGAACUGCCUUUGAUACUGAAGAUCUUGAGUCCGGGAGAGGUGAGUGGAACUGCGAGUGUAGAGGUGAAAUUCGUAGAUAUUCGCAAGAACACCAGUGGCGAAGGCGGCUCACUGGCCCGGUACUGACGCUGAGGCGCGAAAGCGUGGGGAGCAAACAGG
rnacentral:rRNA from 1 species